GUCGUAUUUUAGAUUGUUAUUUGUCUUUGAUUUCCCUAUAACUUUGGAAUAGUUAUAGAUACAGAAAAUUUACAUAGUGAAAAAUGCUUGGUACUUCAAGGGGCAACUUUGUUACAUUAUGACUGUAUUGGUUUUACCAUUGUGUAAGGGGCAUAAUCCCCAUUGAUGGUUUAUAUAAAGCCAUUAUUAGGCAAAACUCUUAAAUAAAAUGUCUUUGACCCAUAGUGUCUUUUGCCAUGACAUUGUAGAGCAAUGACCUUGACAAAAGUCACAAGGUCAAAGGUCAAG
rnacentral:lncRNA from 1 species